GACGAACGCUGGCGGCGUGCCUAAUACAUGCAAGUAGAACGCUGAAGGAGGAGCUUGCUUCUCUGGAUGAGUUGCGAACGGGUGAGUAACGCGUAGGUAACCUGCCUGGCAGCGGGGGAUAACUAUUGGAAACGAUAGCUAAUACCGCAUAAGAGUAGAUGUUGCAUGACAUUUGCUUAAAAGGUGCAAUUGCAUCACUACCAGAUGGACCUGCGUUGUAUUUGCUAGUUGGUGGGGUAACGGCUCAACAAGGCGACGAUACAUAGCCGACCUGAGAGGGUGAUCGGCCAACACUGGAACUGGGCAACGCCCAGACUCCUAAGGGGGGGAGCAGUAGGGGAACUUCGGCAAUGGACGGAAGUCUGACCGAGCAAAGCCGGGUGAGGGAAGGAGGGUUUCGGGUCGUAAAGCUCUGUUGUAAGAGAAGAAAGAGUGUGAGGGUGGAAAGUUCAUGCUGUGACGGUAUCUUAACAGAAAGCGACGGCUAACUACGUG
rnacentral:rRNA from 1 species